CCUACGGGUGGCAGCAGUGGGGAAUAUUGGACAAUGGGGGGAACCCUGAUCCAGCCAUGCCGCGUGUGUGAAGAAGGCCCUCGGGUUGUAAAGCACUUUCAGUGAGGAAGAACGCCUGGUGGUUAAUACCCAUCAGGAAAGACAUCACUCACAGAAGAAGCACCGGCUAACUCCGGGCCAGCAGCCGCGGUAAUACGGAGGGUGCGAGCGUUAAUCGGAAUUACUGGGCGUAAAGCGCGCGUAGGUGGCUUGAUAAGCCGGUUGUGAAAGCCCCGGGCGCAACCUGGGAACGGCAUCCGGAACUGUCAAGCUAGAGUGCAGGAGAGGAAGGUAGAAUUCCCGGUGUAGCGGUGAAAUGCGUAGAGAUCGGGAGGAAUACCAGUGGCGAAGGCGGCCUUCUGGACUGAUACUGACACUGAGGUGCGAAAGCGUGGGUAGCAAACAGGAUUAGAUAUCCUAGUAGUC
rnacentral:rRNA from 1 species